CCUGACAUUUACUAUAGUAGUCCUCCUCUUAUUCAUAGUUUUGCUUUUUUUGCUUUCAGUUACCUGUGGUCAACUUUAGCCUAAAAAUGUUAAGUGGAAAAUUCUAGAGACAGACAAUUUAUAAAUUUUAGAUUGUGCUCUAUUCUGAGUAGCAUGAUGAGAUUUUGUGCUGUCCUACUCCAUCCUUUGUCCGACGGGUCCGCGCUGUAUACAUUUCCUGGGAAAACACUUUUCUGCCUUUCCAGCACUUACUCAGGAAGGCAAGUUCAUAUAUAAAUCCGUAUUUGCUAUUGCCCAAUUUCAGACCAGCACAGGUUUCUCAGCUGUAUAACAGGGCUCCUUUGACUCUGUAGUCACUUUGUAGCCAUCUUGGGUUAUCAGAUCAUUUCUUGCAGUAUCACAGUGCAUGUGUUCUAGUAAACUUUAUUUUACUUAAUAUUGGCCCCAAAGCGCAAGAAUAGUGAUGCUGGAAAAACAGAAUAUGCAGGGUUUGACACGAUCAGCAGUUUCAGGUAUACAUUGGGGUUCUUGGAACAUAUUCCCAACAGAUAAAGGGGCUACUGUGUAUGUGAAUCUUUGUCAUGCAGGAAUUUAGAAUUUUGUGUGCCAAUUUGACAUCCCUUCAGGUAAAGCUCAAAACUGUGUGGUAAAGACAUCUUUCUUUAACUUGGAUAAAUAUGAGAGAGAGAAAAAGACUGUUAAUUGUGUUGCUUCUUGAGUUCAAUUUUUAACUUUUAAACAUUUUCCAUAUGUUAUUGAUGUUCCGUGAGUUACACAAAUGAUUACUAUUCUUACUUCUUCCUCAUUACAAACAAUUUUUGAUUUUUGCUAAAAAAAUUUUUCAAACAAGAAUGUGAGUUUUAGAAACUUAUUUGUACUAAUUUUCAAUUUUCUAGAAUUUUUUUUUCUGGCAUGGUAAAUUCUAACAAUAUCAUUUUUUAGAUAAAUGCUUUGUGAUUUUUAUAGAUAAACAUUUUCUCAUAGUUGGUCAGUUUACUCCUGUCUUCCUAUAAUUUUGUUAAAGUCUUAUUUUUAGCAGCUAUCAAAAAUAAAACUCUUUACUAGGAGCGGGAAAAUCUAUGGAAUAUUAAAGUAAGAUAGUAUUUGUUAAGGCGCUUUAGGCUCUAAAGAUAAAGAGUGAAAGUUUUUGUGUUUGGACUUCUGGCAUUAUAAUGAAGUCUUGGAAUUUUAUGUGAGGUUGGAAACCAUGCUAUGUGCUAAUUGCCUUACAAGGCAAGAAAAUAAACAUAUGUAUAGCAAUUAGUUGUUAAGACUGUAGGCCCUUAUAUAGAGCCCCAAAUGAAUUAACAAACCAUCUACUGAAACAUUUCCACUUUAGUUUACUUUAUUUAUAUAUUUCAGACCAAUCAGCAAUUGCUUGAGAAAAUGUUUACUAAAUCUCUUUAAUAAACAUGAUUGAGAGGGAAAAUUUAUAAACAUUAUGAUGACAGUAUACAUUUUUAUGUGCUAGUUGUCACAUCUUUGAAAUUGUAUGUAAACUGGACAUAGUCUAGCAUCUGCAGAAGUGUAUCUGUUUUCCAAUGUAUUUUACUAUAUACAUUAUAGAAUCUUUAUAGCUUAAUAUGAUUUAACCCAUGUGUUCUGUUGUCUCUGUUCUUCUAGGUAAAUAAAAUUGGAUUUAAUCUCUUUAUAGCAGCUUUGAAAUGUUUAUAUACCAUGAAGUUCACCCGUUUAAAGUGACUGUUCAGUGACUGUUAGUACAUUUACAGAGUUAGAACAUUCACAUCACCACAAAAAGAAACUUUGUACCCAUUAGCAGUUACUCUGCAUGGUCCCUGGAUUCAAAUGUGUAUCCAUGUUUCAUAAUGGUUUCAAUGAUAUUCAGGUAUUAUGGCUACAGAUGAUAUAAUUGUUCCUAAUUUGACAAAUAAUGAAUUCAUGUCUUUCUUCUUUGACAUAUGUACUGGAAGUAAGUCAUAAUAAGUCUUUUGCAGGUACUCUGAAGAGGGUCUCUUAAGCUUUUGUUCUCGUUUGUUCUAGAUAUAUUGUUACCACGUUUGGGGGUCAAUUCUUUAAAAUGUUAAUUAAUUUUUUUCUGCUUUGGGUGGAUGACAUGUAGCAGAUAAAGUUUUUAAAAUUAUAUUUAGUAAAAUGGAAUCAAAAAAAUGAGAAAACAGUUUUCUUCCUCUCCAUUAUUUAUUCAGGAAGGCAAGCUCAUAUAUAAAUCCAUAUUUGCUGUUACCCAAUUUCAGACCAGUACAGGUUUCUCAGCUGUAUAACAGGGCUCCUUUGACUCUAACCCCUUGUGUCCAUCGUAUUUUCUCCCUGUCACUUGGAAGUAGCUUCUGGAAGAUGUAGAGAACUCUCCAGACUUCUAGGACAUACUCAUAUUUAUUUUUUCAUUGACGUUGUCCUGAUAUAAUUAGGAACAUUAGCAAAUCCUAAAUAGCUGAAGAUAUUCUGAAAAUAGAGUGCUGCUUUUCCAAAUUGCAUUCUUCUUGUCCUCUGUACAGAUUUCUGGCACGUUUUUCUUUAGAUUUUUAUAAACCCUUGAAUACUUUUCUCUCUCCCCUCUUCCCCUGUAAUACCCUCAUCCCAAACAUAAAUUUUGUCCAACCUCCUGCCCCUGUUUAACUCUGCUGUCCUGACUAGUCAUUUCGUGUAUUCAUUUUUCAAAGUAUUAUUUCUUUCUGCAUUCUAUAAACAAUCUAAGACCACUUUGUAUUAUUAUUGUUAAGUAUAAGGUACAUGACAGAAACUGUCACAAUCAAAUAAAAUGUAAAAUGUACCAUACCCACCAAAAAUAUUUUGGUUCAGUCUUUUCCAGAAAGAUGCACAUAUACAAAAUAAAAGAGCACUGUAUGUUCCAUGAUUCAUUCUACAAAAAA